AUAUUUAAAUAGCCGCAAUUUGUGCUAAGGUAGCAUAAUCAUUUGUCUUUUAAAUGAAGACUAGAACAAAAGACUUAACAUUUUAAUUUAUUUAUUAAAUAUAAAUAUUCACAUUUUUUUAAAUGUAAAAAAACAUUUAUUUUAAAGAAAGACGAUAAGACCCUAUUGAACUUAACUUAAGUUAAACUGGGGCAGUAAAUUAAUUAUUAUUUUAAUAAAAAUAAACAAUUUAUUAUCUAAUAUAAUUAAUUAUUCAGUUACCAUAGGGAUAACAGCGCAAUUAGCUUUUAAAGCUCUAAUUUAAAAGCUAGAUUACGACCUCGAUGUUGAAUUAAUAACCUAACUAAAGCAACUUUUAGGAAAGGAAGUCUGUUCGACUUUUAAAUAAUUACAUGAUUUGAGUUCAGACCGGUGUAAGCCAGGUCGGCUUCAAUCUUCUUAAAACUCUUUUACAGUACGAAAGGACCUAAAAAUAUAAUUUAAUUAAUUUAUUGGCAGAUAAAUGCAUUAGAAUUAGAAUCUAAUAAAACUAAA
rnacentral:rRNA from 1 species